GAUGAACGCUGGCGGCGUGCUUAACACAUGCAAGUCGAACGAUGAAAGCGGGAGCUUGCUCCUGCUGGAUUAGAGGCGAACGGGUGAGUAACACGUGAGCAAUCUGCCCCGAACUCUGGGAUAAGCGUUGGAAACGACGUCUAAUACCGGAUGCGACGCGCGAAGGCAUCUUCUGCGCGUGGAAAGAAUUUCGGUUCGGGAUGAGCUCGCGGCCUAUCAGCUAGUUGGUGAGGUAACGGCUCACCAAGGCGACGACGGGUAGCCGGCCUGAGCGGAGGACCGGCCACACUGGGACUGAGACACGGCCCAGACUCCUCAGGGAGGCAGCAGUGGGGAAUAUUGCACAAUGGGCGAAAGCCUGAUGCAGCAACGCCGCGUGAGGGACGGCGGCCUUCGGGUUGUAAGCCUCUUUUAGCAGGGAAGAAGCGAAAGUGACGGUACCUGCAGAAAAAGCACCGGCUAACUACGUGCCAGCCGCCGCCGUAACAC
rnacentral:rRNA from 1 species